AUACGAAGGGUGCGAGCGUUAAUCGGAAUUACUGGGCGUAAAGCGCGCGUAGGCGGUUGGAUAAGUCGGAUGUGAAAGCCCCGGCUCAACCUGGGAAUUGCAUUCGAAACUGUCCGGCUAGAGUAUGGUAGAGGGAAGCGGAAUUCCACAUGUAGCGGUGAAAUGCGUAGAUAUGUGGAGGAACACCAGUGGCGAAGGCGGCUUCCUGGACCAAUACUGACGCUGAGGUGCGAAAGCGUGGGGAGCAAACAGGAUUAGAUACCCUAGUAGUCC
rnacentral:rRNA from 1 species